GAAUUUUGGACAAUGGGCGAAAGCCUGAUCCAGCACUGCCGCGUGCACGAUGAAGGCCUUCGGGUUGUAAACUCCUUUUGUACGGAACGAACAGCUUUGGUUUCAUAGCCUGGAGUCAUGACGCCACCGGACGAACAAGCACCGGCCAACUACUGACCCGCCGACGCGGUAAUACGGAGGGUGCAAGCGUUAAUCGGAAUUACUGGGCGUAAGGCGUUGGAGGGCGGGUUGGUAAGACUAAGGUGAAAUCCGCGGGCUCAACCUGGGAACUUCCUUUGUGACUGCAAGGCUAGAGUACGGCAGAGGGGGGUGGAAUUCCGCGUGUAGCAGUGAAAUGCGUAGAUAUGCGAAGGAACACCGAUGGCGAGGGCAACCCCCUGGGCCUGUACUGACGCUCAUGCACGAAAGCGUGGGGAGCAAACA
rnacentral:rRNA from 1 species